GCAGCCCGUUUCUGGUUGUAAAUUUCACCAAGGACCUCAUCCACGGAACGUUGGAGGAUGGAUGUGAAGAAAGCUGCUCACUACUUCCUGCUCAUUGUGUGUCUGUGUGCAUGUCUUCAGGGCAAGAGGCUGUUUGGAAGAUGCUGCCUGUUGCCGACGCGCAACUCUCUGGUUUUGCUGCCUUCGCCAUCUUCGGUCAUCCUCAGGGGGCGCUACUUUCUGAGGUGGCCUGUGGUUGAAGCAUCUCAACGGGUAAAGUUCCCCCCGACAGUACGGAAGAGUGCCGUUGAAUCCGAGAGGAAAGGUUGCAAAAUACCCGUUAAAAUGGGUUUCGUCAAAGUGGUGAAGAACAAGGCUUACUUCAAGAGAUAUGAAGUUAAAUUCAGACGAAGGAGAGAGGGCAAAACAGACUUCUAUGCCCGCAAACGCUUGGUUGUACAAGACAAGAACAAGUACAACACACCCAAGUAUCGUCUGAUCGUUCGAUUGUCCAACAGGGACAUCUGCUGCCAGAUUGCCUAUGCAAAAAUUGAAGGCGACCACAUUGUGUCUGCUGCGUACUCCCAUGAGCUGCCUAAAUAUGGCAUCCCUGUGGGUCUCACUAACUACGCUGCGGCGUACUGCACUGGGCUGCUGCUGGCCCGCAGGUUGCUGCACAAGUUUGGCAUGGAUCAGGUAUACGAGGGGCAGGUGGAGGUGACGGGCGACGAGUUCAAUGUGGAGAGCGUGGACGGUCGUCCGGGGGCCUUCACCUGUUACCUGGAUGCAGGCCUGGCCAGAACCACCACGGGAAACAAAGUGUUUGGAGCGCUGAAGGGGGCAGUGGACGGAGGACUGGCCAUUCCUCACAGCCUGAGACGCUUCCCCGGUUACGACACAGAGAGCAAAGAUUUUAAUGCCGAGGUGCAUCGGAAACACAUUAUGGGCAUGAACGUGGCCGACUACAUGUCCUACCUGAUGGAGGAGGACGAGGAGGCGUACAAGAGGCAGUUUUCUCGCUUCAUCAAGAACGGAGUUGCACCUGACACGGUAGAGGAAAUGUACAAGAAAGCACAUGCCGCCAUCAGAGCAAACCCUGUUCACGAAAAGAAACCUAAAAGAGAAGUCCAAAAGAAGAGGUGGAAUCGCUCCAAGUUGUCUCUGGCGCAAAGGAAGGACCGCGUCGCCCAGAAAAAAGCCAGCUUCUUACGAGCGCAAGAACGGGAAGCAGGGGACGGUUAGCGUUAGCUCCAUAUGCAACACUAGUAAAUUUGUUACAAACUCGACUCUUUGUUGUGUCUUCAGUGAUACUUGGAGGAAUGCUGGUGACAGUUUAUUCCUUCACAUUGGUCCCAUUGCACAUUUUACUUUACCCACUUAAUGACUCAAAAAGAAAGAAGGCAGGUGAUAUGAUAUUUAAAACAAAAAAACGCAAAAUUGUCAUUGUGCAAAAUCAUGCGUUAACAUCUUUGUCCACCCAGCAGCACACAACUUUCUGGGUAUCAUGGCGCAUUUUACAAGUUUACAAAGUUACUUCAUUAUCAGGUGUGUCUUUAGUGUCGAGCACACUGUAUAUACAGCGUUCAAUUCAUAAAGAUCUUCACUCGUGUGUAACAUUCAGCAGAUGAUUUCAGCAUGUUUUCUAUGGCACUGUGAUGGGUCAAACCCAAAAGUGAUACAGUACAUUUUCUCGUGGAAAAAUACAACAUUCACAAAUGACUACACAUCUCUGUGAUCAAGACGAUUGAUAUUCACCUUCUUUCGCAUCAUUAAUGACCAAGGCAUCAAAAGGAGGCAGUGUCACCAGGUGAUGAUUGUGCUUCUUCCUAGUAGAUUUGGCCACCUGAAAUGUCCCACCGGUUACUGACGGUCAUCAAGUAACCGUGAACAAUGCACAGUCCCAAACGCAAUACAUUUUUUUCACCCUGGCUUUGUCAAAAGUAAGCAUGCAAAAACUGUCACAUUAGACAUGGAUUCUUCAUAUCGUCAUACUCACUGAAAGCGAUAUAAAUUGAAAAAAAAAAAAAAAAACAGGAAAAGGUCCAACACAUGAUUGGAUAGUCUUCAAUACGCCUCCCAGCUAUGGUUUAUCCAGCAGUAAUAUUUUGUCCAAUUCUGUCAGUAUUCAUUUAAAGCAUCACUAGUCGGUUUUCCAGCUGCUGAAGCUAUGCUAAAUGGGGACAAGUAUUUGGACACCUGCCCACAAGACGGGGGUGGAAAUAUAACAAAACUAAAGCAACAAUGGAAAAGUUGGCAGUAAUUUUGCAAUGAGAAGAUGUCAUCUUAUGAGAAUAACGUAUGAUAUAAGGAAAUAUAACAUUUUAGUUGCAUAAAGUUGAAAUAUUAAAGUUAUUUUAAUUCGAAGUCACAAUAUGAGAAAUUAAAAGUCAAUUUUGGAACAUUAGGUUGGAGGAAAAGUUAUAAAAAAGUUGAAUUUGGGGGAAAAAAAUGGGAAAGAAAGCAAAAACUAAAUGUCAUACGCCAUUUUUCAGUACGUUUUCUUUUGUGGAAAAAGUUUGGACACCCCUGCUCUUAAGACUUGUAGGGAUUGACAGCACAUUUGUGAGGGCCUGGCUCACUCAGAUUUCAUUAUGAUUGCUGCACCGAGCAAAGACUGGCAGCUUGUUGGUUUGCAUGUGUAAAUGAUUCUUAUAUUUGUGUCAAUAGGGUAAUUAAGUGAGAGUGAUGUCUCAAUACUUAUGCCCAUAUAGUAUAUCAAGGCGGUAUAAUUUAAUUCAACAGCAUUGUUACCACCUCAGCUCCUCCUGGUCAUGAGUCCUUGGUGUGUGAGAUCUGUCUCCACAGCAGAGCCUUCAGGUUGUUGAGGAGAAGCGAAUGCUCCAUGUUCAUCUGCCCAGCGUCCCCCUUGAGGGCCAUGCAGGCAUACAGCUGCCUCUCCAGCUCUUCCCUCAGCGCAGACGGCGCCCCGUGCAGGAGGUAGUCCUUCAGCACGGUGCACGCUUUGGCCAAAUUUGGCCGCACCGGCUCCUCCCUGCACCGUUUAUCUGACAUGUCACAUGACGUCCAGCAGUCCACCCCGUACACACAGUCGGCGUCCGUGUCACACCUGAGCGCCCGCAUGCUGCGCCGAAACUGGCUUUCGGGCACCACGGUGCGGGGGUUGGUGAGACGCAGCUCGUGGCCGUCGGUGUAGCCGAAGUGCACCGCCGCCAGGUCGCAGAUGAGGAAGCUGCCGUAGGUCCCAUGGAAGAUGUCCUCCACCAGCUCCAGCAGGCCCAUGGAGAUCUUAGCCUUGCGGGGCCACGAGGGGGUGAACCACUGGUCCAUCGUGCGCUGUAAGCCGCUGGGCACCCAGGACACAAGCGGCCAGGGUGCGGAGAAACCAUAUAGCGGGGCAUGGGGGACACGUUCGGUCAUGUAGAGGUCGCCGCAGUAGCCAAGAAGACGGGGAGUGUGUCCACGCUCCUGAAGCAGCAGGCCAAGAAGCACCUGAAAGAACCACAAAAAAUGUACAGUUGGCCGGAACAAUUUAAAUAUUAAUGUAAAAAGAAAUCUUUGAAAAUAAAAAAAAUAUUUAUGUCAAACAAGGAUUUUAAAAUGAUAACCAUAACUGCCGUUUUAGUGCACUACUUUGUAGCAACCAGUUGAGGCGCUGUCCAUUCAGUAUGGGUGAUUGGCGAUACCAGAUUUGAUUUUUUUUUAAAUUCGAAACAAUACCGAUUACAUUUUUUUAAUAUAUUUUUUUCCCCCCGAUACUGAAGACAUUUUUGGCAAAGUACCAGACAUUUAACAACUUUAAUGUGCAUUUUUCCACAUUACAUGUCAUAAGAAAUGAUUUGUCUUUUUACACAACGUAAACUAAAGUUCCAUUGUUUAGUGUAAUUGCUACCAUUAGGGGAUAAAGAUGUCCGCUUAAAAAAAUCACAAUAAUCUUAUAAAGGUGAAAACUCUGCAAUCAAUCAAUAUCAUCUUCCGUAUCUGGUAUUUAUGAUCAAAACUGAAGUUGAUUACAAUAUUUAUGUACAAAAAAGUAAGCUGCACAGUGUAAAAAAUAGAGCAGUAUGUGAUUUGUGCUUGGAAUAUCACAAGUAGCUUAAUAGUAGUUUAGUACUACCCCAGCACCAGUCACCACUCUUCUGGUCGGUGGUCACGUGACAUGAAUGGAUUAGUUAUGUUCCUCGUGACAAUUUGAUCAAAUCCCCAUCUCUUCUUCUUACCUCAUCCAUCUGCAGGAGGGCCCACGCAGAGCGAGCUUCUGGCAGAGACACCUUUCCAUCUUUGUUGCCGUCCGCCACAGACAGGAUGACACUGACCAGACCGGCGAGAUUGGCCUGAUCUCCAAGCUUGGACUACAAGAGGUCAGAGAGACACAAAUGUCAGACGAAACAACCACUGGAGAAGAUGACAUCAUUACGAGCCGUUUAUUAGGGCGACAGCAUGUUUGUCACACUUAAAUGUUUCAGAUCACCAAACAAAUUGAAAUACUAGUCAGUGACAACACAACUCAACACAAAAUGACAAAAUGCAGUUUUUAAAUGAAACUUUUAUUAAGGGAGGAAAAAAAAUCCAAACCUACAUGGCCCUGUGUGAACAAGUGAUUGUCCCCCUCGUCCCCCCCAACCACCACCACCCCGCCCCCCACAAUCUGAACUGCAGGCCUCACUUGCCUCAGUUAAGGUCAGUGUUCAUGGCUGCAUGGCAGAGUUCCAACACGAAAACCACUCCUGAAAAGAACAUCAAGGCUCGGCUCAAUUUUGCCAGAAAACAUCUUGAUGAUCCCCAAGAGCUUUGAGAAAAUACUCUGGUCUGACUAGACAAAUGUUGGAACUUUUUGGAGGGUGUGUGUCCCAUUAUAUCUGGUGUGAAAGGAACGCCGCAUUUCAGAAAAAGAACAUCAUACCAACAGUAAAAUAUGGUGGUGGUAGUGUGAUGGUCUGGGGCUUUUUUUGCUGCUUCAGGACCUGGAAGACUUGCUGUGAUAAAUGGAACCAUGAAUUCUGCUGUCUACCAAAAAAUCCUGAAGGAGAAUGUACGGCCAUCUGUUCGUGACCUCGAACUCGCGUUCUGCAGCAGGACAAUGAUCCAAAACACACCAGCAAGUCCACCUCUGAAUGGCUGAAGAAAAACAAAAUGAAGACUUUGAAGUGACCUAGUGAAAGUCCUGACCUGAAUCCUACUGAGAUGCUGUGGCAUGACCUUAAAAAGGUGCCUCAUGCUGGAAAACCCUCCAAUGUGGCUGAAUGACAACAAUUCUGCAAAGUUGAGUGGGCCAAAAUUCCUCCACAGCGUUUUAAGAGACUCAUUGCAACGCUUGAUUGCAAUUGUUGCUGCUAAGGGUGGCCCAACCAGUUAUUAGGUUUAGGGGGCAAUCACUUUUCCACACAGGACCUUGGAGGUUUGGAUUAUCUUCUCCCUUACUAAAUAAAAGUUUCAUUUAAAAACUGAAUUUUGUGUUCAGUUGUGUUGUCAUUGAGUAAUAUUUACUGUAUGUUUGUUUGAUGAUCCGAAAUGUCUAAGUGUGACAAACAUGCAAAAAAAGAAAGAAAGAAAGAAAUCACACCACUGUACAUGCAGGAUGGAGGAGCUUAUUCAUUUGGUAUGAAUGCCAUUUUUUCAUUUUUACCUUGAGGUGAUUAAAGACCAUCUCUCUGAACUUCUCCACCGACGUGCCUCGAGUGGGAGUGUCGAACACGGGGGCCUCCCUCCGCGGCUCCAGCUCCUCGCCCAUCUCGUAGUGUACAACUCUGCCCAAAUUACAGCGAAUGAUUCCUUCAUGGUCUCCCCAGCUUCCAGUAUACACCUGAAAGACAGCGGCAUUCGUCUGGAGAAACCAUGGCUGAGCUAAAUGAAGAGUCGGUCGGAGGGUCUUCUACCUGGUUGUUUGGGAGGGCUGACAGACAUCUGCUCAUGUAGAAGGUCUCCUUGUCACACAGGCUGCUGCAGGCCGAGCCGUCGAUGAUUCCCUUCCUGUAUUUGUCACACUUGCAGGACGAGAAACACAGUAAGCAUGGCCACCUUAACUAACAGGUUGCAAUCGCUACAACGAGGUCAGACUGCAUCCUGAGAUCAAACCACGGUCUAACCAGAAUAACCGGAUUGGUGAUGCAGAAAUGAUGACAUCACUGGUGGAGCUCGACACCUUGCGGCGUGCAGGUCAGGAGACCAUCAACGUCACCCUCGGCUUCCUCAUCAAUACAUUUGUCAUCUUGGAGGUGUGUUUGGACUCGUUAUCGUGUUGGAAAACUGCCACGCUGCCCAGUUUCCCCAAGGGAGGGGAUCAUGAUCUGCUUCAGAAUGUCACCGUACGUGUUGGAGUUCAUGUUUCCCUCAAGGAGCCGCAACUCCCCAGUGCCGGCAGGACUCGUGCAGCCCCAGAGCAUGACGCUACCGUCAGGCAAGACACAAUUUGUACUCACUUGUGUUGCCAGCUGUUUCAGUGGAUAGUGAAUCUAUGUAAGCUGUACGCUGGCUAGUAGGGGUUUCAUGAGAUGGGAUGAUGCACGAGAUUGAGAGGAAACAAGAUUUUAACGUUAUUUUUUCUAAGUACAAUGAAAAAAUAUGGACAAACAAACUUUUUCUGAAUUUAAGAGUCACAAACAAUACUGGUGCGUUUUGAAAUGUUUAAAGACCUACAAAUGGAUGCGCUAAACGACAUUUUUUUUAGACCAAAUAAACCACUAUCGCUAUGAUUAUAUUAAAUAAUAAUAAUAAUAGAUCAUAAUAAUGCAAUAUUUCCUGUAAUAUGUCAUCUUUUACUCCGUAAAGUUGUGGAAUUGCCGUUAGUGACAUGUAUUUUAUCACAGGCAAUUCGUACUGUUUAACGUUUGUAGCAUUUCUUGAAAUGCUGGCUUUUCCACAGAAUUAAAGAGCAGCAUUUCUUUGGCGAUGCAUUAAACUACACGCUCUGUUCCGUUUUGUAUUUACUUUGCCGAUCAAAUGUCUCCUUGAGUGUUGACUGUUGGUGUGUUGUUUUUUUUCCCAGUUUGGAAAACUGGGUUAGGUGGAUAUGUUUAGGUGGGCAAGUUUGUUUUGUUUAAGUUGCCACCACUUCUGAACAAAUUCGGCAUUGUGGCUUGUUUGUGUUGAUGGGCUCACCUUGCUCAUUAUAAUAUUCCCACAUGGGGGCUGUGGCAUAUGGCUUUGCAAUAUUCUUUUUUGUUUUCUAAUUCCGACUACAUGCAUUGCUCCUCAUGAGGCUCCACUCUUUUGCUGUGUGUGUGCUAGAGGCCCCGCCUCCCCCCACCGAGACAAAGCGACUGUAUGACUGACAAGAGGUCUCACUCUGUCUCACAACGUCACAAGCCGCUGUCCUGUGAAGCGUCUCGGUGCUGAACCGAUGCACAGACUGAACCCUUUUCCAAAACAGACAUGCAUGCACAUGGCAGUGUAUGGGGUCUGGCAAAAAUCCAUCCAUCCAUCCAUUUUCUAUGCCGCUUGUCUCACUAGGGUCUCGGUCGGGCAAAAUCAUGGAGUUCAUUUUCCUUUAUCGUGUGAUUAAUUUAUUAUCGUGGCACAGUUUUUUCCUGAAAAAGAAAUCUUGUUACAGUUUGAUCUCAUGACACCCCUACCGACUAGUCUGAAGUAUACACAAGUUUCAUUUCCAUCAUAUCGUCCCUUGAGAAACACUGUGAUAAACAUGGGUACAAGGUACGCCGUGUACUCACUUUGGUGAGAUAUUACUGCAGCAAUGUCAUGAUUCUGUGACAACAUGCAGCCAGCACGCAGGCAGGGACCGUUUCUAGGCUGUGCUAAUAUUCCACUGUAUUAACAGAUCAUACCUGGGUCAUGCUAAUUCCAGUCUUUAUAGAUUACACACACACACACACACACAUGACCUUUGUUGUUGUUUUUGAAUGACAAAACAUGUAAUGAGGACUGAAAGGUGGGGGAAAACCACUGCAUCCGCAUUGACCCAUAUUCCUUUAAGAGCACUUUUGAGUGGUAACUGGAGACACACAGCUCCUGUGCAGAGCUGAUGAAUGGUGGGCCUCCAGGGAGGAGAGUGGGCGGGUAGCAGGAGAGAACAUGGAACAUCACAUGGUGUGACUAUUUGCUAUUCAAUAUACAGACAAUAUGACAACACAAAGGGCAUUCUUUGCAAGUGACUGUCCUGAUAAUCAUCAACAAAUUGAACAUAAAAUGUGCAAACACAUAAUGUUGACAUGUUAAAUAUGUAAAAGACUUCCCUGACACUACAUAGGGUACCUUCGGGGAAUACAAUGCCAGAAUGUGGAAAAACCUGUGGUUGCAUAGUGAAGACACUACAGGGCACAUGGGUGCAAGUAUGCAAAACAUCUCAAAACAAAAAGUGUUCGUGCAAACUGCUAUGUUUGCAAUUGUGUUUGGUAACUCGCCUUGUUAAUCCUCAUGACUUGUUUAGUGAAUUCUCGCCGCAAAAAGACCACUGAGUAUCAUGUUCGUUUGUUGCCGGGCAACCUGUUGCUCAGUCAGCGAUCACCAUGCUUUACUUUCACCUAGAACAUUUUCAACAUCGUUUUACUUUUUAAAAACAAUAUAUGCAUCUCGCUUAUUGGUUUUGGCUGAGAGAAGACUUUUUCUGUCAUGUCUUCAAUGCUGGGGAACUGCAUUGCAGAGGGAGCAGGCAAGCCUCCAACUGGGUCAAUCUUAUACUUCCCAAGAUUUUCAGCACUUUAAGAUUUUGAAUUAUUAACCUCCUUGGAUUAUAAAACCACAUUGUAAGUCCCCUGUACAUGCAGGUUAAACUGCCUCUAAUGUGUCAUCUGAUAUAUGAAGCGUAUUCGUCCAUCAACAUUCUUCAGGUAUACUGAAACCAUGCAGGAUGUUUACUGCCAACAGUCCUCCUGAUGUGGCACACCACAAACCCCAUUAUCACACACUGCCACUUUUAGAAAGACACAGAGCAACAUUACCUGGAAAUAGAAGGACUUCUUCACCCAGGCCCGUGGAAACAGCCCCUUCGCCAUCACAAAAAUAGAUCAUCUCAAUACGUGGACUUGGCUGAAGGAGACCGUCAUUCAAAAGCCACAGCAGGAGGCGUCUGCUAAUGAGUUGAAGAUGUCUCGCCUCGCUUGUAAAAUGUACAUUCACGCACGUACAUUAUUCCUGUUGAUUUUGUCCCAGUGUGCAAUGCUCUGUCUGCACGUUCGCGCUUCGCUCCAGCUGCAGCGGCUGUGUUUCCAGCAAAGCAACUUCUUAAUGCCUCCAGCAGAAAACAGCGCAGGCUCGGGUCAAUGCGCAGGCGCGGUGUGAAGCGUUGAAAAACGUUUGGUAGUUACAACAUUGUCAAUGAAACUGAGUCGAGUAUGUGUGUCAAAAUGCAUUCACCGGUGACACAUGGUAUGCUGUAAGGUAGCGUUAUAGUUCUAGAGUAAGUGACAG